GAUCUUGAUCAGGAAGGUAGAGGCCAAUUCCUAAUGUUGAGAAUCAGUUGAGAGUUGCAUAUUUCAGGUUCGAGUAUUAUAAGUUACCUUACAUUGCUCUAGAAUGGCUCCAGAAGCUUCAUGAGACUAUAUAUGACGUCGAUCAUGACGAGCACUAUGUGCUGAGUAGGAAUCAGUACAACCGUGUUCUUAACAAGUAUGCCAGGUUGAGAUGUCAAGUUAUCCUCACUCAGGAGUCAGGAGCAACAAGAUUUUCUCCGUCGACUGUUUGAUUCUCUCUAGAGAUCAUUCAGGUUCUCACUCUGAUUCUGGGCCUUCAAGACAUUGGUUAAGCAAUUGGUUGGCUAUAAAGAAGAUCUAUCUCUGAGACAACUGGACAUCAUCUUGUUCCUUUGUGAAGCAAUGGAGCAUUGGCUAUGUUCCAACAGCGAGAGGUGCUUAACAUGUCUCUGAAAUCAUGGCUGGCCGUUAUGUUUUUCCUAUGCAGAAUUGUAUUCUGAGCAUCCAUUAGAAUGUUUGACUUGAUCAAACAGUUUUCAGUUCUACAUUAGAUGACAACUUUUAUCGUUCCAAUAGAAGACUGGAGUGCUUGUGUACUGUGAAUUUUGUCUUGUGAUUGUUGGUUGAGCCUGUUUAAGGGUUUGACAAUAGAUAGAGGAGUGCUGCAUACUUUAAGCAAUGCAUUUUAGUAACUGGACAUCAUCUUGUUCCUAUGAUGUUUCUCUCUUCAUUCCGGAAGAAAGUUGGGAUCAAAAGUUGUGCUAUACUUUUUGCAUUUUGAUCCAGUUACUAAAAUGCAUUGCUUAUUGCACAAAAAUGCCAGUCAUUGUCAUGAAUUUUACUUGAUUUUGGGGCUCUGACGUUUUGUAGAUGUUGAAGCUAGGGUUGUUUGUACACG